GGGCGUGUAGUUCCAGCGGUAGAACGAUGGACUGUUAAUCCAUGUGUCGGGGGUUCGAAUCCCUCCACGCCCG
rfam:Aeromonas phage 65, complete genome.